rnacentral:rRNA from 1 species
CUACGGGAUGCACCAGUGAGGAAUAUUGCACAAUGGGGGGAACCCUGAUGCAGCAACGCCGCGUGGAGGAUGACGCAUUUCGGCGUGUAAACUCCUUUUAUAUGUCAAGAAAAUGACGGUAGCAUAUGAAUAAGCACCGGCUAACUCCGUGCCAGCAGCCGCGGUAAUACGGAGGGUGCAAGCGUUACUCGGAAUCACUGGGCGUAAAGGACGCGUAGGCGGGUUGGAAAGUCAGGUGUGAAAUCCUACAGCUUAACUGUAGAACUGCACUUGAAACUUCUAAUCUAGAGUAUGGGAGGGGAAGAUGGAAUUAGUGGUGUAGGGGUAAAAUCCGUAGAUAUCACUAGGAAUACCUAAAGCGAAGGCGAUCUCCUGGAACAUUACUGACGCUAAGGCGUGAAAGCGUGGGGAGCAAACAGGAUUAGAUACCCCUGUAGUC